rnacentral:lncRNA from 10 species
UAAAUAUAUGCAUAAAAUGACUUUACAUGGAAUUUUGUUACAAAAAGACCAAAGAAGACACUAAGAUGAAGAAUGAGAAUGGGGGAACAUAAUCUAGGUCACUUUUGCUCCUUGUGGAGAGUGGAUUGAAGAGGAGCAUUGAACUGACGAGACCCAGUGAAAAUUCUGUUCCAAUAAUGUGGAUGUAUGAUCAUGAUGAUUUAAUAAACGUGAAGCAAAGAGGUCAAAGCCAAGAAAUCACUGGAGUUAAAACCACCAGGGAUGCUACCAAAUUGGAUGUAGGGUGAGGAAAAGUGCUGCACAGUAGUCGUGUUUGCAAUGCUACCACUCAUGGAAAACAGCAG